GAUGAACGCUGGCGGCGUGCUUAACACAUGCAAGUCGAACGGAAAGGCUCCUGCUUGCAGGGGUACUCGAGUGGCGAACGGGUGAGUAACACGUGGGUGAUCUGCCCUGCACUUCGGGAUAAGCCUGGGAAACUGGGUCUAAUACCGGAUAGGACCACAUUUUGGAUGGUGUGGUGGAAAGUUUUUCGGUGUGGGAUGAGCUCGCGGCCUAUCAGCUUGUUGGUGGGGUAAUGGCCUACCAAGGCGUCGACGGGUAGCCGGCCUGAGAGGGUGUACGGCCACAUUGGGACUGAGAUACGGCCCAGACUCCCACGGGAGGCAGCAGUGGGGAAUAUUGCACAAUGGGCGCAAGCCUGAUGCAGCGACGCCGCGUGGGGAAUGACGGCCUUCGGGUUGUAAACUCCUUUCGCUAGGGACGAAGCGCAAGUGACGGUACCUGGAGAAGAAGCACCGGCUAACUACGUG
rnacentral:rRNA from 1 species